CAGCCGCCGCGGUAAUACCGGCGGCCCGAGUGGCGGUCACUAUUAUUGGGCUUAAAGCGUCCGUAGCCGGGUUGGGAAGUCCUCCGGGAAAUCUGGCCGCUUAACGGUCAGAAUGCCGGAGGAUACUCCCAGCCUAGGGAGCGGGAGAGGCCGAGGGGAUUCCCGGAGGAGGGGUGGAAUCCUAUAAUCCCGGGAGGACCACCCGUGGGGAAGGCGCUCGGCUGGAACGCGUCCGACGGUGAGGGACGAAGGCCAGGGGAGCAAACCGGAUUAGAUACCCGGGUAGUCCUGGCUGUAAACGAUGCGGACUUUGUGUCGGACAAGCUAUGAGCUUGUCCGGUGCCGGAGGGAAACCGUUAAGUCCGCCGCCUGGGGAGUACGGCCGCAAGGCUGAAACUUAAAGGAAUUGGCGGG
rnacentral:rRNA from 1 species